ACGUAGGUGGCAAGCGUUGUCCGGAAUUACUGGGUGUAAAGGGAGCGCAGGCGGGGAGACAAGUCAGCUGUGAAAACUAUGGGCUUAACCCAUAGAUUGCAGUUGAAACUGUUUUUCUUGAGUGGAGUAGAGGUAGGCGGAAUUCCGAGUGGAGGGGUGAAAUGCGUAGAUAUUCGGAGGAACACCAGUGGCGAAGGCGGCCUACUGGGCUCUAUCUGUGGCUGAGGCUCGAAAGUGUGGGGAGGGAGCAG
rnacentral:rRNA from 1 species